rnacentral:rRNA from 1 species
GGAUCAUUACCGAGUUUACAACUCCCAAACCCAAUGUGAACGUUACCAAACUGUUGCCUCGGCGGGGUCACGCCCCGGGUGCGUCGCAGCCCCGGAACCAGGCGCCCGCCGGAGGAACCAACCAAACUCUUUCUGUAGUCCCCUCGCGGACGUAUUUCUUACAGCUCUGAGCAAAAAUUCAAAAUGAAUCAAAACUUUCAACAACGGAUCUCUUGGUUCUGGCAUCGAUGAAGAACGCAGCGAAAUGCGAUAAGUAAUGUGAAUUGCAGAAUUCAGUGAAUCAUCGAAUCUUUGAACGCACAUUGCGCCCGCCAGUAUUCUGGCGGGCAUGCCUGUCCGAGCGUCAUUUCAACCCUCGAACCCCUCCGGGGGAUCGGCGUUGGGGAUCGGGACCCCUCACACGGGUGCCGGCCCCGAAAUACAGUGGCGGUCUCGCCGCAGCCUCUCCUGCGCAGUAGUUUGCACAACUCGCACCGGGAGCGCGGCGCGUCCACGUCCGUAAAACACCCAACUUCUGAAAUGUUGACC